UUUAACAAGCUCAAGCUCAGUCAUUAACGGCACACUCAGAUAUGUGCCAUGAACAAAGAAUCAAACCUUGGACAACCACAUGAGGCUGUAAGAAGAAUGGAUGAAGUGAAGGCUUUUUCGUGCAAAAAGCCUACCAUAGAAGGAACCCGGGACCCCACCAAUGAAACAUGGCCCAAAUUCAUCUCCUUUCUCUUCCUUCAAUUUCUCAUAGAAAGCGGGCAACGACCUGAAAACGGUAUUGAAGUCGUUCCCUGGAAGGUCAUUCAAGUACACACGCAACUCCGGCAAUGGAUGUUUUAGACGGUCACAAUUUCCAGCAAUGGUAUCCAUGAUUUUGGAGAUGACCAUCAAAGUGUUGGGGCCUGAUGAACAACCCAAGUCUGCAAUUCCCAUGCUAUGUGGGAAUGUGUUGCAGUAGGCAUGUAGUAAAGCUUCUUCUAUCAUGGGCUUCAUUAUGGAUAUAACCUUCCUCUACCAAAGAAAAUACAUGAAUGAGUCAAUGAAUAAGAUUAUAAGAUAAUGAGGAAAAAUAAUUAAGA